rnacentral:rRNA from 1 species
CCUACGGGUGGCAGCAGUGGGGAAUAUUGCACAAUGGGCGGAAGCCUGAACCAGCCACGUCGCGUGCAGGAUGACGGCCCUACGGGUUGUAAGCUGCUUUUAUACGGGAAUAACGCGCCUUACGUGUAGGGCUUUGCAUGUACCGUAUGAAUCAGGACCGGCUAGUUCCGUGCCAGCAGCCGCGGUAAUCCGGAAGGUCCGGGCGUUAUCCGGAUUUAUUGGGUUGAAAGGGAGCGUAGGCCGCAUGUCAAGCGUGCUGUGAAAUGUCCGGGCUCAACCCGGGCCUUGCAGCGCGAACUGGACUGCUUGAGUCCGCGGAAGGCAGGUGGAAUUCGUCGUGUAGCGGUGAAAUGCGUAGAUAUGACGAAGAACCCCGAUGGCGAAGGCAGCUUGCUGCAGCGGAACUGACGCUGAGGCUCGAAAGCGUGGGUAGCGAACAGGAUUAGAUACCCUUGUAGUC